UUGUGCAGUUCUAAGCAGAUGCCAGGUGGUGCCAAUUCUGCUCCACUGGACACCACACUUAGAGCGGCGAGGUCACCAAAUAAUAGGGGUGAAAAGAUUGUGAGAACACCGACAUCAGUGAGAAAGAGGCUGGCUGCAGAGACCAUGGUCGUCUGGGCUGGAAGAAAACAAAAAGUUCUGCAGCCAGCGGUAACUGAAACCAGUGAGACUUCUGCAGCCUGUGUGUGCGCACCCAGAAACAGACCCAAAGCCAGCAGUUUCAGUUCCCUCAACUUAAUUUUACUAAUGUGAUAGAGAGGCAGCAAACAUCUGCAAGGAACCAGAAAUCCUUCCUUUACGUGCGCUGUAAUCUGAAACAGUUUCUCAACCGUGGCGCCGCUGACGUCUUGGGCUGCCUAACAGUUUGCUGACCGGGAGGCCGAGUGUCCUGUGCACUGCAGGCUGUUUAGCAGCAUCCCUGGACUCUACCCACAAGAUACCAGCAGCACUCCCAAGCUGUGACAACCCAAAAUACCUCCAGACAUUGCCAGAUGUCAA